GCCCGCUCAGAAACUACAAAGGAAGUUGACGGGGCCCGCACAAGCGGUGGAGUAUGUGGUUUAAUUCGAUGCAACGCGAAGAACCUUACCUGGUCUUGACAUCCCGGAGACCCUUAGGAAACUAGGGGGUGCUUCCAUCUGGAAGAAUCUGGAGACAGGUGCUGCAUGGCUGUCGUCAGCUCGUGUCGUGAGAUGUUGGGUUAAGUCCCGCAACGAGCGCAACCCUUGCCUUUAGUUGCCAGCAGUUCGGCUGGGCACUCUAAAGGGACUGCCGGGUGUUAAACCGGAGGAAGGUGGGGAUGACGUCAAGUCCUCAUGGCCUUUAUGACCAGGGCUACACACGUACUACAAUGGCCGAUACAAAGGGCAGCGACACUGCGAGGUGAAGCCAAUCCCGUAAAAUCGGUCUCAGUCCGGAUUGGAGUCUGCAACUCGACUCCAUGAAGUUGGAAUCGCUAGUAAUCGUGGAUCAGCAUGCCACGGUGAAUACGUUCCCGGGCCUU
rnacentral:rRNA from 1 species